rnacentral:rRNA from 1 species
UACGUAGGGGGCAAGCGUUGUCCGGAAUUAUUGGGCGUAAAGCGCGUGUAGGCGGCUCGGUAAGUCUGCUGUGAAAGUCCAGGGCUCAACCCUGGAAUGCCGAUGGAUACUGCAGGGCUAGAGUCCGGAAGAGGCGAGUGGAAUUCCUGGUGUAGCGGUGGAAUGCGCAGAUAUCAGGAGGAACACCAAUAGCGAAGGCAGCUCGCUGGGACGGUACUGACGCUAAGGCGCGAAAGCGUGGGGAGCGAACAGG